rnacentral:rRNA from 1 species
GAAUCUUCCACAAUGGACGAAAGUCUGAUGGAGCAAUGCCGCGUGAGUGAAGAAGGUUUUCGGAUCGUAAAACUCUGUUGUGAGGGAAGAACCAGUAUGAGAGUAACUGCUCGUACCUUGCCCGUACCUCAUUAAAAAGCCCCGCCUAACUUCGUGCCAUCAGCCGCGGUAAUACGUAGGUGGCAAGCGUUGUCCGGAAUUAGUGGGCGUAAAGCGCGCGCAGGCGGUCCUUUAAGUCUGAUGUGAAAUCCCACGGCUCAACCGUGGAAGGUCAUUGGAAACUGGGGGACUUGAGUACAGAAGAGGAAAGCGGAAUUCCAAGUGUAGCGGUGAAAUGCGUAGAGAUUUGGAGGAACACCAGUGGCGAAGGCGGCUUUCUGGUCUGUAACUGACGCUGAGGCGCGAAAGCGUGGGGAGCAAAC